AUUGAACGCUGGCGGCAUGCUUUACACAUGCAAGUCGAACGGUAACAGGCCGCAAGGUGCUGACGAGUGGCGAACGGGUGAGUAAUGCAUCGGAACGUGCCCAGUCGUGGGGGAUAACGCAGCGAAAGCUGUGCUAAUACCGCAUACGAUCUAUGGAUGAAAGCGGGGGACCGUAAGGCCUCGCGCGAUUGGAGCGGCCGAUGUCAGAUUAGGUAGUUGGUGGGGCAAAGGCUCACCAAGCCAACGAUCUGUAGCUGGUCUGAGAGGACGACCAGCCACACUGGGACUGAGACACGGCCCAGACUCCUACGGGAGGCAGCAGUGGGGAAUUUGGGACAAUGGGCGCAAGCCUGAUCCAGCAAUGCCGCGUGCAGGAAGAAGGCCUUCGGGUUGUAAACUGCUUUUGUACGGAACGAAAAGGUUUGGGUUAAUACCCUGGGCCGAUGACGGUACCGUAAGAAUAAGCACCGGCUAACUACGUGCCAGCAGCCGCCGUAA
rnacentral:rRNA from 1 species